rnacentral:misc_RNA from 1 species
GCCGACAACAAAGGGGAGUCGGUAAGAACUAGGGAGAAAAAUUUGAAGGAUGUUCUAUCAUUAUUUAUUUAUUUAUUUAUACAUCACUAUAAAAUUUUUGAAACUGCUUAUGUCUUAUUCUGAGAAUCAGCUUGUGGUAGUUACAAGAAUGCCAUAGUUUCUUUGUCAUGAUAGAAAAUGAUUAGAGGAUCAUGCUCAAUGUUAAUCUGUGAAUAUUAUGAUUAUAGAUUUGAUUGAUGAAUUGUGGAGAAAACUGGCAGUGAUGAGGCAGGAAUCCUCAACUACAUUGACUGAAAAAGGGGGAUUAUCACUAAGUAUUUUGAUACAAGUUGCAUAUUGAUGCUUGGCCCUUACUGCAGGGAUUAAGUUUCUCUACCACACUGGAUUAAUAUGGAGUUACUUUUUCAAGCUUAUGUUGUUGAUGAAUAUCAACCCUUUGUUUUCAAUAUAUUAGACGCACAACAUAUUUCUUUAACCCAAUUUUAUUGAUCGAGUAAGAUUCUCACAAAUAAUAGUCAUCAGCAGCUCGUGAAGUUUACUAUAUGAGCUGCAUUUGGCAGAGUUUUCCAACAUUUUAUAGAUUAAAAUCAUUAUUGGUUUGGAUCUCAUCAUUAUCAUUAUCAUAAUGUGAUUGAUUCAUGAACUAGUCCUGUGAUCAAUUACGCAAAAUUUGAUGCAAUUUUGUAAGUAUAGGUUUCCUUAAUUGUUUUUCAUUGUCUUAUCCGGUAGUCUUUAUUUUUAUCCUUCAUGGGCUUACUAAUAGUAUCAUUGAUUUUCAUUUAUAUUGGCCUGAAAAAAUAUUUUCUAUGCUACAGCAUUGCUUUGUUUGGCCUCACUAGAGUCUAUUUUAGGGUAAGGGGCAAGAAGAAGGAUGGAAUAAAAUUUUAGCAAUACUGGAGCAAUUGAAAAUAUAUUUAAUCUAUACCUAGGUUAAAGGGAUAUUGAUUUCUGAUCUUUAAUUGAUUAGGUAUGAAGUUGAUACCAAUGCAU